GAAAUGCGAUAAGUAAUGUGAAUUGCAGAAUUCCGUGAAUCAUCGAAUCUUUGAACGCACAUUGCGCCCCCUGGCAUUCCGGGGGGCAUGCCUGUCCGAGCGUCAUUUCUGCCCUCAAGCACGGCUUGUGUGUUGGGUGUGGUCCCCCCGGGGACCUGCUCGAAAGGCAGCGGCGACGUCCGUCUGGUCCUCGAGCGUAUGGGGCUCUGUCACUCGCUCGGGAAGGACCUGCGGGGGUUGGUCACCACCAUAUUUCACCACGGUUGACCUCGGAUCAGGUAGGAGUUACCCGCUGAACUUAAGC
rnacentral:misc_RNA from 1 species